UUCACUUUAAACUAAUCUGCUGUGAAAACACACGUACCACAACUUACCAUGAACCAAAAACAAAGAAAAUUAAAAUUGGGUGUAAAAAAAAAUAGAAUUCAAAAAAGAAUUCUGGCUUCAUUUGCCAAGUAACACAACAAAAUAAAAUAAAAUGAUAAAAAUAAAAAUAAAUCUUAUUAUCAGUCUUCCAUAGUGGCAUGGCUCGCCCUCUCUGCAUAUCAUUCUCGUUUUGACUACAUUUUGCAUCCCAUAUGAAUAAUACAAACUCAAUCAGAAUUACAGGACACUAUUAUUGUCCCAUGUGACCUUGAAUCCAAAUCGAUUGAAAUUGAACGAGCUGAUUUGCAUAGUUAAACUAACAAUGGGGCUGUAAUCAAACCCUGUAAACCAUUUUUGAAACAAAACCCUGGGUACAUUUUAACAACAGAUUAGCAGUAAGUGUGUGCUCAUUUUGUUUCUGCUGUGUGUGUGUGUGUGUGUGUGUGUGUGUGUGUGUGUGUGUGUGUGUGUGUGUGUGUGUGUGUGUGUGUGUGUGUGUGUGUGUGUGUGUGUGUGUGUGUGUGUGUGUGUGUGUAGUUGACUCGCGUUAACUCAUUGUGUGAAACUUAAACGUGUGGUUUUGACCGAUGUGCUGUAUUGAUUUGAUCCGAUCGGUUCACACCUGAUGGUGGCAGUUCGUUAACUAAGAGUGUUAUCCGUGAAUAAAAGAGAUAGCCAGCAUUCUUCACAUCCCCUGCUAUCUCCAUAAUCGUAGAGAUAUUGAGUACAGGACCUCGUAGUGAGGUGCCUGAAAGUUGGAAAUGGAUUUGUUUUCUCGAUAAGGUGAACCUGUUCAAGGCCGUCAUUGCCUAGUUAAAUAAAGGUAAAAUUAAAUCAAAAUAGCAGGUGUGUAACACAGGUACACAGUAUAGAGGUACACAGUAAGGAGGUACACAGUAUAGAGGUACACAGUAAGGAGGUACACAGUAAGGAGGUACACAGUAUAGAGGUAGAGAGUAAGGAGGUACACAGUAGAGGUACACAGUAAGGAGGUACACAGUAAGGAGGUACACAGUAUAGAGGUACACAGUAAGGAGGUACACAGUAUAGAGGUACACAGUAAGGAGGUACUCAGUAAGGAGGUACACAGUAAGGAGGUACUCAGUAAGGAGGUACACAGUAGAGGUACUCAGUAUAGAGGUACUCAGUAAGGAGGUACUCAGUAAGGAGGUACACAGUAAGGAGGUACACAGUAUAGAGGUAGAGAGUAAAGAGGUACACAGUAAGGAGGUACACAGUAAGGAGGUACACAGUAUAGAGGUAGAGAGUAAAGAGGUACACAGUAAGGAGGUACACAGUAAGGAGGUACACAGUAAGGAGGUACACAGUAUAGAGGUACACAGUAAGGAGGUACACAGUAAGGAGGUACUCAGUAAGGAGGUACUCAGUAUAGAGGUACACAGUAAGGAGGUACACAGUAUGGAGGUACUCAGUAAGGAGGUACACAGUAUAGAGGUAGAGAGUAAGGAGGUACUCAGUAUAGAGGUACACAGUAUAGAGGUACACAGUAAGGAGGUACACAGUAUAGAGGUACACAGUAUAGAGGUACACAGUAAGGAGGUACACAGUAUAGAGGUAGAGAGUAAGGAGGUACACAGUAAGGAGGUAGAGAGUAAAGAGGUACACAGUAGAGGUAGCGAGUAAGGAGGUACUCAGUAAGGAGGUACACAGUAGAGGUAGCGAGUAAGGAGGUACACAGUAUAGAGGUAGAGAGUAAAGAGGUAGAGAGGUCCUCUCACACCUUUAUCUUAUUAUGUGGAAGGAAUAGACGUUUAGGGCCUGUGAAGGUUAUUUUUAGGGCCUGUGAAGGUAAUUUUUAGGGCCUGUGAAGGUUAUUUUUAGGGCAUGUGAAGGUUAUUUUUAGGGCCUGUGAAGGUUAUUUUUAGGGCCUGUGAAGGUUAUUUUUAGGGCCUGUGUAGGUUAUUUUUAGGGCCUGUGUAGGUUAUUUUUAGGGCCUGUGAAGGUUAUUUUUAGGGCCUGUGAAGGUUAUUUUUAGGGCCUGUGUAGGUUAUUUUUAGGGCCUGUGUAGGUUAUUUUUAGGGCCUGUGAAGGUUAUUUUUAGGGCCUGUGAAGGUUAUUUUUAGGGCCUGUGAAGGUUAUUUUUAGGGCCUGUGAAGGUUAUUUUUACGGCCUGUGUAGGUUAUUUUUAGGGCCUGUGAAGGUUAUUUUUAGGGCCUGUGAAGGUUAUUUUUAGGGCCUGUGAAGGUUAUUUUUAGGGCCUAGGGUGUCCAUCUCAAAGUUGUACCUUUAGUACCUUCUCAGUUGUGCGUGUUUGUGUGUCUGUCUGUAUGUGUGUCUAUUGGUUUGUUUGUCCAGGUAACAGGUGAGUCCAGGUAACAGGUGACUACAGUGUCCCACAGCUGUCUCUAACCCCUUCUAUCCUC